rnacentral:rRNA from 1 species
GACGAACGCUGGCGGCGUGCUUAACACAUGCAAGUCGAGCGGGGACAUUGCUUUCGGGUGAUGUUCUAGCGGCGGACGGGUGAGUAACGCGUGAGCAACCUUUCUCUCAGUGGGGAAUAACACCGGGAAACUGGUACUAAUACCGCAUGAGACCACAGCAUCGCAUGGUGCAGGGGUCAAAGAUUUAUCGCUGAGAGGUGGGCUCGCGUCUGAUUAGAUAGUUGGUGGGGUAACGGCCUACCAAGUCGACGAUCAGUAGCCGACCUGAGAGGGUGAUCGGCCACAUUGGGACUGAGACACGGCCCAA